rnacentral:rRNA from 1 species
AUACGGAGGAUCCGAGCGUUAUCCGGAUUUAUUGGGUUUAAAGGGUGCGCAGGCGGCCAUUUAAGUCAGCGGUUAAAUCGUGGGGCUCAACCCCAUUCUGCCGUUGAUACUGGGUGGCUUGAUUGCGGUCGAGGUUGGCGGAAUUCGUUGUGUAGCGGUGAAAUGCAUAGAUAUGACGAAGAACACCGAUUGCGUAGGCAGCUGACCAGACCGCAAAUGACGCUCAUGCACGAAAGUGCGGGGAUCGAACAGGAUUAGAUACCCUGGUAGUCCGCAGAGUAAGCGAUGAAUACUUGUUUUCGGCGAUAUAAUGUCGGAGGCAAAGCGAAAGCGAUAAGUAUUCCACCUGGGGAGUACGCCAGCAACGGUGAAACUCAAAGGAAUUGACGGGG